rnacentral:tmRNA from 4 species
GGGGAUGAAACGAUCGACGGGAUAGUACUUUAACAACUGCAAGCCUGAGUGAUUGUCUCAGUAAAACCAAUCAAAAAAUAACUGUCGACAAUGAUGACAGAAUUGAAGCGUUAAAGAGGGAACGAGAUGCAAUUCUUGCUCAACUCGGAGCGUUUCAACCGAAUUUUGCCCGUUUAUACGCGUAAAAUCGGCAUCUGCUGAAACUUAUUCCGAUGGGUUUCAUCAGGUGAAAAUACAGUCGGAAUGCUCCCCGGUAAUUGACUGUAAUCGGGGAAAAGAUUAAGUCUUACUUUUUCCGCCUCUUUGUCUGUUGAUACCGGCGGUUAAAGGAAAUUAUUUCAGCAGACUAAGCUUGUAGAAGUUAUUAAUGUACGUCUUCGGACUCCGGAUCACCUCCGGACAUCUCCACAA